ensembl:piRNA 21ur-1396 ncRNA
UAAUAAACAAUAUGCGGGUCA